rnacentral:rRNA from 1 species
CAGUACCGUGAGGGAAAGGUGAAAAGCACCCCGGAAGGGGAGUGAAAUAGAACCUGAAACCGUGUGCUUACAAGUAGUCAGAGCCCGUUAAUGGGUGAUGGCGUGCCUUUUGUAGAAUGAACCGGCGAGUUACGAUUUGAUGCAAGGUUAAGCAGUAAAUGUGGAGCCGUAGCGAAAGCGAGUCUGAAUAGGGCGUUUAGUAUUUGGUCGUAGACCCGAAACCAGGUGAUCUACCCUUGGUCAGGUUGAAGUUCAGGUAACACUGAAUGGAGGACCGAACCGACUUACGUUGAAAAGUGAGCGGAUGAACUGAGGGUAGCGGAGAAAUUCCAAUCGAACCUGGAGAUAGCUGGUUCUCUCCGAAAUAGCUUUAGGGCUAGCCUCAAGUGAUGAUUAUUGGAGGUAGAGCACUGUUUGGACGAGGGGCCCCUCUCGGGUUACCGAAUUCAGACAAACUCCGAAUGCCAAUUAAUUUAACUUGGGAGUCAGAACAUGGGUGAUAAGGUCCGUGUUCGAAAGGGAAACAGCCCAGACCACCAGCUAAGGUCCCAAAAUAUAUGUUAAGUGGAAAAGGAUGUGGCGUUGCCCAGACAACUAGGAUGUUGGCUUAGAAGCAGCCAUCAUUUAAAGAGUGCGUAAUAGCUCACUAGUCGAGUGACACUGCGCCGAAAAUGUACCGGGGCUAAACAUAUUACCGAAGCUGUGGAUUGUCCUUUGGACAAUGGUAGGAGAGCGUUCUAAGGGCGUUGAAGCAUGAUCGUAAGGACAUGUGGAGCGCUUAGAAGUGAGAAUGCCGGUGUGAGUAGCGAAAGACGGGUGAGAAUCCCGUCCACCGAUUGACUAAGGUUUCCAGAGGAAGGCUCGUCCGC